AAGUAAAUCCAUAAACGGGCUCAGUUCAGAUCGUAGGCUGCAAUCGCCUACGUGAAGUAGGAAUCGCUAGUAAUCGCAGGUCAGCAUACUGCGGUGAAUACGUUCCCGGGCCUUGUACACACCGCCCGUCACACCAUGGAAGUUGGCCAUGCCCGAAGUCGUUACUCCAACCCUUGUGGAGGAGGACGCCGAAGGUGGGGCUAAUGACUGGGGUGAAGUCGUAACAAGGUAGCCGUACCGGAAGGUGCGGCUGGAUCACCUCCUAA
rnacentral:rRNA from 1 species